UCGGCUGCACGGACAAUAUUAGAUCCAGCACAGUCUGUGUGGUGUUACUCUGGUAUCUACAAUACGAGCCGGGUACUCGGUUACUUCUAUACCAAAUAAGCUUUCACCACUGCUGUAAGUCUCGUAUCUUUCCCACAGUUCUUCAAAACGCGCUUGGAACAAGAUAAGUCUUGAAACACAAUAAUAACGUGAAAAAUAAUAUUAUUAUUAACAUAAUACGUCUGUUGUUUAUAACUGAUCUAAAGUACGGUCUCUGUACUUAAAAUAAAAGAUAUAUGUUUAAAAUUUGACAAAAUAAAAAAAUUAUAGUGUAAUCUAAUGCAGCAAUAAAGAACCUAUUAUUUUAUUCAAA